rnacentral:rRNA from 1 species
GACGAACGCUGGCGGCGUGCCUAAUACAUGCAAGUUGAGCGCUGAAGGUUGGUACUUGUACCAACUGGAUGAGCAGCGAACGGGUGAGUAACGCGUGGGGAAUCUGCCUUUGAGCGGGGGACAACAUUUGGAAACGAAUGCUAAUACCGCAUAAAAACUUUAAACACAAGUUUUAAGUUUGAAAGAUGCAAUUGCAUCACUCAAAGAUGAUCCCGCGUUGUAUUAGCUAGUUGGUGAGGUAAAGGCUCACCAAGGCGAUGAUACAUAGCCGACCUGAGAGGGUGAUCGGCCACAUUGUGACUGAGACACGGCCCAAACUCCUACGGGAGGCAGCAGUAGGGAAUCUUCGGCAAUGGACGAAAGUCUGACCGAGCAACGCCGCGUGAGUGAAGAAGGUUUUCGGAUCGUAAAACUCUGUUGGUAGAGAAGAACGUGGGUGAGAGUGGAAAGCGCAUCAAGUGACGGUAACGACCCAGAAAGGGACGGCGAACUACGG